CGCUGUUUGCUUGAGAGUUUCCUGCGUUUUCUGCGUUCUUUGUGUGCUUCGCUGUGACAUCUGUGCAAUAUUCCUGCGUGUUGCUGGCUUUUUAUGGGCUUGUUGCCUCGAAUAUCGCCAUGAUCGCCUCCGACUCAAGGAUUCAAAAUGAGCUGGGAGACGCCCCAGCUGGAACGCUAAAGGUUCACAUAGGCUGUAGGAGUGCACAUUGAGAAGGUUAUCCUGGCACAGCUUACCAUGGCCUGCUAUGGUAGACCAGGAAAGUUCACAAGGGCCUUGCUUCACCAUGUGUUCGCAGAGGAGCUCAUGGGCCAUUUGGGCUUUGCAAAUAACACCAAGGGGCAAAAGAGGCUCUUGACCCCACCAGGGUCAGUGCUGUUAUAGGCUUCACGUGUCGCAAAUUUCCUGGUACCAACAUGCCCUAUGUAAUGAACUCUGGCCUCGCUUCUCGCAUGGGACCACUAGCCUCUGAAGAGCCCAAGUUGGACAGCUCAAACUAAAACACAAGUGUUGUGCUUUUUUAACUCUCAACAUUUUUAUGUUUUAUGUUAGUCUCCUGAAGGCCCCGAUUUGGAUUUCUUAAAUGCGCAUACAAAUGUAGUCCCUUUCUAUGCCUUGACAUUUUUGUGUUAAUUUUAGUUAUAUUAAUUAUGCUAGUCUCCUCAGAAGCCCACAUUGUAUUGCUCAAUCCGGAAUACAAGUGCUGUGCUUUGUUAUAGUUCACUACAUUUUUAUGUUAGUUAUUGAUAUGGUUCCAGUAAGGAUAGUGUUUCCUUGUUAAUAUAUUUUUAAGUAUCUUAAGUCAUUUCAUGCCAAACCACCCAAUUUUGUCAAGAACUGUUCCAUUAUGGCAAACCAUUUCAAGUUUGCUUGAUUUUGAGCAGGUACAAUGCUAAAAUUUUUGAGAAAAUUUGCUUUCAUUCAUACACUUGAGUCAUUCCAGGGCAACCAACCAGUGUUUUUUUGACCAUCACAGAUAUAGUUGAAGCUCCGAACACUUGCUCCCCAUUUAUUUUCCUUCGCAAUAAUUUUUUUAAAUAUUGGCAAAAAUUCAUUGUUCUUGCCCAGCUAAGCUACAAAGCACUGAUACACGUUUCUUUUGAAAGGGAAAAUGUAUGGUCCAGAUAUUCAGAUGGUGUUCAUGUCAAGAGACUGAAGUGGUGUGACUGCCAAAAUUUGUAAAGUUUGAAUUUUUUUCUAACGUAGGGAAAUACAGAAGGCACAAAAUAAAUAUAAAAUCAGACUGGUUGACUUGGGAUAUUUAGUAAAGCAAUGAAGGGUGCUAGUUCGUGAACGUUCAUGGUUAUAUUGCGCUCAGUUUUAC